ensembl:lncRNA
CGUGCCCCCCGCCCCAGCGCACAUCCUCCUGGAGGCCGGCAAGGACCCCAGCUUCCCUCGCAUCACCGUGCUGAAGCCCUACAAGGACAGCCCGGAGGUAUCGGGGAAGAAGGAGCCGCCCGGCCCGCAGCAAGCACCCCCACUGCCCUUUGGGGAGCCGAGCCCCACGCCGCCCGGAGACUACCCGCACCCGGCAGUGCCCCAGCCAGGGCAGCCCUGCUCGCCAGGCACGCAGCCUGCCCCGCACAGAGCUCCCCGGCCCCCACGGGCCACCCUGCCCACCUACAGCGCCCACGUGCAGGGGCCAGCCGGCAGCUACGCCACCGUCACGGCCACCGCUUCGGUGACGGUGGCCCUGCACCCUACGCUGCCCGGCUCCUACCCCAGCUUUGGCCCCGAGGGCUUUGCCAGUGGUGAGACGGACUGCCUGGAGGAGCCCAGUGUGCCCGCUCCCGGGGGCACCGCCGUGCCCAACGCCUUUGAGCUGCAGAAUCUGGGGCGCCAUGGGGCAGGCGCGAGGCGCUAGGUUGCUGGCUUGCAGACGGCACCGACACGCCAGUUUGUGGGCAGAGCAUCUCCCCCAGCGCCAGCGGGGCACAGGCCCGGGGCCGAAUGAUGCAGAGCGGGGUCGCCCGCGUCGUGCUGCUAGUCGCUGGAGUGGUGAUGUCCCGAUCUUGGCCCCGCGCCGUCGCGCCAAGGAGGACCGGCCCCCGUGUCCCCUCUGCAGGAGCUCGCCGGGGCAGGCUGGCGUUUCUAUGCAAGCUGUGCGCAGGCCACGCUUUGCCCAUGUGCCCCCUGCGCGGGGCUGUGCCAACGGCACCGUGUCUCCCCCCAGGGCUUGGGGUUCCCCUGCCCCAGGCCUGCUGCCCCCCAGAAAUGGAAGCACUAACCCCCCCCCCCUCUGUUUCUGGAGCUGCUGGCAAGGCGGGCUCCGCGCCCGGCCCUCUGCCGUGCCAACUCCCCCACUGCGGGGGUCACUGCCUGCUCCCCGUCACCUCCUCUGGGGACCCCCCACCAAUACCACGUGCCGGGGUGCCCAGAUGGGAGGGCCCUGGUGCCCCCAUUCCCGAAAGGGGGCAGCCCCAGAGCCAGCCAUGCCCUGGGGUGCCAUGGGCAAGGCCCGGGGCGGGCACCCCCCCACCUUUAUUUAUUGCAAAGGGAAACUAUCUAUAGAGAGAUUAUAUUUUUAAGCUUAUUUUAAAAGAUUUAUUUCUCAGCCUGAGGCCUUGCCCGGCUGCCCAGGGUGCCAGGCAGUGAGGGGACAAGUCCUUUGCUGGUGUAGGACUGCCCGCCGGAGUCAGCGUGGGCUAGCAGUGAGCCCGGGGCAGGGGUGCUGGGCAGCCGCGGGCAAGUCGCUCCCCUCUGAUGCCUUCCCUGUGCCUCAGUUUCCCCGUCGGUGAGCUCGGCAGGGACGGAGAUGGGGGACACACCGUGGAGCGAGGGAGCCUGUUGCUCCCACCAAACAGGCAGGGUUUGGGGGGUCCUUGGUGCGGUCCUUGCUGUGCCAAGCCCCAGCGCCAUCCCGUGUUCACUGACCCUCAUGCAAUCGCACGUGCCUUGCUCUCAUGAGUGCCCGUGCUGGUGCAUACACACGCUGGCACACAGUCACGCUGGCACGUGCCUUUGCGAUGGGCAGAUCUAGCUGGAAAAGCCCAUUUCCGUGUCCCUGUGCAACACGGCCCUCCUCCCGACCAGCCCUGCUACGGGCAAAGCCAGGCGCUGCCCCCCCAUCCGUCCCCGUCCCAGGCACCGUCCCGCACCGUUACCCAGCACUUUAACUUCAGCAGUGUUUGCGGUGCCCGUGGCCCCGGCCACCCUGGCCAUGGCUGCUGAGCUGUGGUGGCCCCGGGGACCCCGUCCCCGUCCCCGUGCCAGGCGUGGGCACGGCGGGCAGCCCCCCUCCCCCUCCCAAUGUCAUCUAAGUUAUUUAUAUCAAAGAGAGCAAAGGUUUAUUUUUGUAGUUUGUAC